AGUUUCGUGCGUGGAGCUCUUGCCGCCGAGAGAUCGCCGUGGAUAUCUUGGUACAGAAUCUUAUCCAUAGCCCUAAUCUACGGCGAUUCGCUCGAAGAAUCCUCGCCUUUUCUCUAAAUUUCGUCCUGAUUCGACUGUUCUUGCUGCGGGCAAUGGAUCUUUCGACCAAGCUCCAAAACCUUGAUCUCCGAUCGAGGUUCCUCUUAGGUUCGCCCCUCUUGGACUCGGAUAGGGCGAGAAUACGGCCGCGGCUUCAUCUCGCCUCGCUUUCUCCCUCGCAAAGCAGGGGGCUUGGUGUGUCUUUGGUGAACAAGACCGGCUUUCCCAGCCCCACGGUGGGCAAGCUCGGUGUUUCGGCCAGGGCCGCCGUUGAGACGGCCAUCACGGAUGCGGACGCCACCACUGCUGAUCUCGAAUCCCUCUUCUCGGAUAGUGCCGUGGAAGAUGGGUCCAGGAGGCCGGCGAAGAAGAAGUAGAGCACUGGGGUGUCGAGCGUCUCGUCGGGCGUGUCUGGAAGGCUAUCUUAAUAAGCAAGAUGUACCAAUGGUUAUCAUAUCCCAUGACAGAGCUUUCCUUGAUCAGUUGUGCACCGAAAUUGUGGAAACGGAUAUGGGAGUGUCACGGACAUUCAUGGGCAACUAUUCUGAUUAUGUUCUAGCAAAAGCAGCAUGGGUGGAAGCUCAAUAUGCAGCGUAGGAAAAACAACAGAAGGAGAUUUAGCAUACAAAAGAGUUAAUAAACAGAUUAGGAGGUGGAGUUAAUGCUCGACGCGCAUCUAGUGAAGAGAAGAAACUGGAGAAACUUCAAGAAGGACAAGUUGAGAAGCCCUUUGAGCGAAAGCAAUUAAAGAUUAGAUUCCCUGAGCGAGGAAGAAGUGGGAGAACUCUCUUAAUGGUUAAGAAUCUAAAUUUUGGAUAUGGUGAUAAUCUGUUGUUUGAAAAGGCAAAUCUUUUAGUUGAGAGAGGCGAGAAAAUAGCCAUUAUUGGGCCAAAUGGAUGUGGAAAGAGUACUUUACUGAAACUAAUUAUGGGCUUCAAGAAGCCUCAGGGGGUUGAUGUCUUGCUCGGGGAGCAUAAUGUGUUGCCAAAUUAUUUCAAACAAAACCAGGCAGAAGCUCUUGAUCUGGAGAAAACUGUCCUUGAGACUGUUGAAGAAGCCACAGCGGACUGGAGAAUUGAUGAUAUAAAAGAUCUCCUUGGUCAUUGUAACUUCAAAGCAGACAUGCUUGAUAG